UACAGAGGUCUCAACCGUUGUUCGGAUUCACUGGGCGUAAAGGGUGCGUAGGCGGUCGUGCAAGUCGGAUGUGAAAUCUCAGGGCUCAACCCUGAAACUGCAUUCGAUACUGCGCGGCUAGAGUGCUGGAGGGGAGACUGGAAUUUACGGUGUAGCAGUGAAAUGCGUAGAUAUCGUAAGGAAGACCAGUGGCGAAGGCGAGUCUCUGGACAGCAACUGACGCUGAGGCACGAAGGCCAGGGGAGCAAACGGG
rnacentral:rRNA from 1 species